rnacentral:ncRNA from 2 species
CCAUCCGAGGGGCGCUGCAGCAGGGCGAAUGCCUGUUUUGAAUCUCGCAAGCCACGCGGCUUACCGGCCGCGCCGCAGCAGAUCGAAUCCGGUUUCACCUGUCAGGCUCGGAUGGGGCGUUUCUAGAACGCAUCAACGGCGCCCAUUCGCA